AUCUAGCUGACGAGUCUCAAAUAGGACGAAACGCGCAUCUUGGAU
rnacentral:hammerhead_ribozyme from 1 species